rnacentral:rRNA from 1 species
GAUGAACGCUAGCGGGAGGCCUAACACAUGCAAGCCGAGCGGUAUUUGUUCUUCGGAACAGAGAGAGCGGCGCACGGGUGCGGAACACGUGUGCAACCUGCCUUUAUCUGGGGGAUAGCCUUUCGAAAGGAAGAUUAAUACCCCAUAAUAUAUUGAGUGGCAUCAUUUGAUAUUGAAAACUCCGGUGGAUAGAGAUGGGCACGCGCAAGAUUAGAUAGUUGGUGAGGUAACGGCUCACCAAGUCAAUGAUCUUUAGGGGGCCUGAGAGGGUGAUCCCCCACACUGGUACUGAGACACGGACCAGACUCCUACGGGAGGCAGCAGUGAGGAAUAUUGGACAAUGGGUUAGCGCCUGAUCCAGCCAUCCCGCGUGAAGGACGACGGCCCUAUGGGUUGUAAACUUCUUUUGUAUAGGGAUAAACCUACUCUCGUGAGAGUAGCUGAAGGUACUAUACGAAUAAACACCGGCUAACUCCGU